GACGAACGCUGGCGGCGUGCUUAACACAUGCAAGUCGAACGAAGUGGCGAACGGGUGAGUAACGAGUAAUAAACCUGCCCUUCAGAGGGGGACAACAGUUGGAAACGACUGCUAAUACCGCAUACUGAAGUAGGGGAUUGCGUCUGAUUAGCUAGUUGGAGGGGUAACGACCCACCAAGGCGAUGAGCAGUAGCCUGUCUGGGAGUAUGAACGGCCACAUAGGUACUGAGACACGGCCCAGACUCCUACGGGAGGCAGCAGUGGGGAAUCUUCCGCAAUGGACGAAAGUCUGACGGAGCAACGCCGCGUGAGUGAUGACGGCCUUCGGGUUGUAAAGCUCUGUUAAUCGGGACGAGGUACCGGAAUAGAAAGCCACGGCUAACUACGUGCCAGCAGCCGCGGUAAUUC
rnacentral:rRNA from 1 species